CAUAGGAACCGUUCACUGAUGAAUUCUAGAAGACACAGGUCUGGGAUGGCCCUGUGGACACAACUCCUGAAAUGAGACCGAAUGACUGCAGAGACUGGCGCCACUGAAAAACAGAGGGAAAGAAAGGGCUUAUCGGAGAGUCCUCAGAUUAUGAUGAAAAUUCUUCAGGCAUUUAAAAGUCGACUUGUGAGAAGCCGCUGUAACCGUGCCAAGAGCCAGCUCUGUGGACCUCAGGAAUCUCAUGCUUCCAUCUCUGCUGCUGCCAACACCACGGUCAUGUUUUAUGUGUGCCCGUGUGAAUGGGGCCUCUGGGGAUCACAGACCCAGCUCCCCUCCCAGGUAGCGCCCUGCCCCAUGCAGGACUCUUCUCAACCCCAUGCUUCUAUAUCUGUGGGGAAGGUUGUUCCAAGCCCUUCCGGCCAAUGACACUCAGGCUUUUGGGUUGGGCAAAUUCUCAGGUCCCUCCGUGCCAUCCUACCCACUCUGGAGGGACUAACUAGUAUUUCUCUUAUAGCACUGAAAAAUAAAAUUUAUUUUGGGCCUCACAGAGCUCUAGGGACCACGUGGCUGUGUCAGCCCCAGGAGGAGGCAAGGAAAGGGUCCCUAUGGAGCCCAAAUCCGACAGGCAGAAGCCAGGUCAGAUGGUGCCCUGAGAACGUGCAGUCUAGAAGACCCAACCUGAGCCCUGACAACCCUCACCAGGAACUCAUAAGGAGGGGGAAUAAAAAAAUAAAAUCCCAAGGAAGGAAUUUAGAAAAAACAAGUACAUUGCUCCCUCAGCAGGCCAAAGGCUUCUGGCGGGGACCUGGACUUUUUUUCAAGCCAGGAAGGAAGACAACAGCCUGGUGCCCGGGCAAUGUGGGAGCUGCAGGAGAAGGCCCAGUUCCCAGCCCCCGGGAUUCCCUGGGCACAGAAGGCAGCUGUGUCAGGCCCAGCGACAGGAAAGACUGCUUAGUUCCGGUUCCCAUCAGGCCCCUGCUCAUCUUGGGUGGCCUCUCAACCGCCCUCUCCAACCUCAGAGACCUGCCCUGGCCUUGGGGUCGGUGCCCACAGGUGGGCCGUGGCUCCUGCUCAGAGGGUGCAGAGACUCGAACUUGAGGGAAGAGCAUGCAGGAGAGGCGAGGGAACCACAGGGAGAGGGACCUGGGAGAACUGAAGUCGGGGUGCCGAGGGGAGGCAAAGGGAGGAGAGGGUGGGAAGGAAGAGCGCCAUGGGGGCGGUGCGGACGAGCGCACGGGCCAGUCUCCUCCAGCCAGGCAGCAGCGGAGUGGGAUGCGCAUGUGGGCAUCUAAGGCAUGCCCGUGACUGCUGGCCUGUGAGCUCUGUGAGACUGUAGGUGUGUCUGCCGUGCUCCCUGAUGUGGCCCCAGCACCUGGCGGGGCGCCCGGCACAGGGAAAGAGCUAGCAAGUCCAUACAUGAUAAACCUAGGAGUGAAUGAAUGAGCAAGGUGGUGUACAGGAAGAGAGCUGCAGCCUGCUGGGAAAGAAUGAGUGGCAUCUACUCAUUCAGCAGGUCGACAGGAAAAGCCCUGCCUCCAAGUCCCAGCCCGGCCACUAACCGGGAUGACCCUGGGGUAAUCACUGCAGCCUCGUGAGCUUCUGACUGUCAUGUGUAAAAUCUGAGGUAGCACUACCCACCCCAGGGGGAUGAAGGGGUUAAAUGAGAUGUUCACAGAGGCAUUUUGUAGGUGUGCUGUACUCUACAGUCAGGAGGACUGGGCUUCCACACUGCUCCCACGGUUAGGAUCAAGACAUUGGGCACAGGCCAUGGGAGGCCGAUUUCCGUUCGGGAUCAGAAAGCAUUAUUGGAACAGGCCACACUUGCGAGGGAAGUCCCUGCCUCAGAAAGAUUCAGAAAAGCUAGACAGUCACUGGAAGAACAAUUACAACCGCAAGACGGUCAAACACUAAACACCGCUAUGCCUCAGAACCGUACAGAUAAUGGCCAAAUAGAUGGGGCUCUGGGCAUUUCUGAGAGCACCUGCCUGGUGGCACCCCAUCCUAAUGGACCAUGCCCUCCAGUCUCCAAGUGGCUCUUCAGAGCUCACAUCCGAACACCUCCUAUGCUACAGGUUCUUCUAGCCCCAGGUUCCCAACCACCCCAAGGCCACAGAGGCCAGCCCCAACUCCAUCUUCUACAUGUGUCACAGGAAACUUUCUCAUAGUGCUAUUUAUUAUGUACUGCGGGGGUGGGGGCCAUGUCAUAAAAGAAAUGUCCUCCCUUUUUUAUUCAUCUCCUUCUAACAAGCAUCAAAGUCUCAGUCGCUAGCAUGUGACUUACAGAAGCUCUCAUGGGAACAAGACAAGACCAUACUGUUACCGUGACACUCACGGCCUCCCUGACUGGUUUCUGCUGUUGAUUCUGCCUCAAAUGCUCCUCAAAUGCACCUUGCUGCUCCGCCUCCACCCUAGAGCUCGCCUGACUGCCCACUUGCCCGUUAAGAGUCGGCUUAGGCUUCACUCCUGCCAGAAAGGUCCUGCCAGGUGCUCUCAACAGUCACCCCCUCCUGUGGUCUCACAAAACCCCAGCACCUCUCGGUCACUCUCUCCCUCCUAUCUGGUUGUGACUGUCUUCCAUGCUCACUUAGAAGCUCUCUGAGGCCAAGAACUGUGUGUACUGUUGCUUCUUUGUUUACCUGGGCCUAGCCCAUUGCCUCAUACACAGGAGAAUGCAAAUAAAUCAUAUGCUUAAUGAAUG
rnacentral:lncRNA from 10 species